rnacentral:rRNA from 1 species
UACGAAGGGGGCUAGCGUUGCUCGGAAUGACUGGGCGUAAAGGGCGCGUAGGCGGCUCAUACAGUCAGGCGUGAAAUUCCUGGGCUCAACCUGGGGGACUGCGCUUGAGACGUGUGGGCUUGAGUGGGGAAGAGGGUUGUGGAAUUCCCAGUGUAGAGGUGAAAUUCGUAGAGAUCGGGAGGAACACCUGCGGCGAAAGCGGCUCACUGGACCAUAACUGACGCUGAUGCACGAAA